GCACCUGUAUGUAUGUCUUGUCAUUUUGUCCGUUUGCAUGUAUCUCUGAACUCUUUGUGCCUAUUGUGCUCUAUGUGUUUGUGUUGUUCUUGUAGGAGUAAUUUGUUAUAUGUUCCCUAAGUGUGAAGGCUUUCAUUUAUAUUUAUUUCUGCUUAUUCAUUUUUCAGCCAACUGCAGCUAGACCUGAAUUGGAAAAGGACCUUCCCAAGACACCAUGUUUAAUAGGCUUUGGGGCAUCAAGGUUGACGGCAACCAGAUAUAUGUUGUCAAUUGAUGGUGUUGUUGUCACUGACCAUAUCGCAACAUUUACUACUGGGCUGGCUAUGCUGCUGGCCUCCUACUACAACUUCAAUAUAAUGUACCCUGUUGAUUCUGCAUCGACACUGGAGUUCAUUCAAAGAUGCUUUGUUGGCAUCAAUCCAGAGCGGGGCAGCAAGAUUGAAGUAAAGAAGCACUGCAAGAGACGCACCCAAGUCCAUC